UGCCAGCAGCCGCGGUAAUACGGAGGGUGCUAGCGUUGUUCGGAAUUACUGGGCGUAAAGGGCAUGUAGGCGGCUACUUAAGUCUGGUGUGAAAGUCCGGGGCUCACCCCCGGAAGUGCGCUGGAAACUGGGUAGCUAGAGUAUGGGAGAGGGAAGUGGAAUUUCCGGUGUUGCGGUGAAAUGCGUAGAUAUCGGAAGGAACACCAGCGGCGAAGGCGGCUUCCUGGACCAAUACUGACGCUGAGAUGCGAAAGCGUGGGGAGCAAACAGGAUUAGAUA
rnacentral:rRNA from 1 species